AUUGAACGCUGGCGGCAUGCUUUACACAUGCAAGUCGAACGGCAGCACGGACUUCGGUCUGGUGGCGAGUGGCGAACGGGUGAGUAAUACAUCGGAACGUGCCCAGUUGUGGGGGAUAACUACUCGAAAGAGUAGCUAAUACCGCAUGAGAACUGAGGUUGAAAGCAGGGGAUCGUAAGACCUUGCGCAACUGGAGCGGCAGAUGGCACAUUAGGUAGUUGGUGGGAUAAAAGCUUACCAAGCCGACGAUCUGUAGCUGGUCUGAGAGGACGACCAGCCACACUGGGACUGAGACACGGCCCAGACUCCUACGGGAGGCAGCAGUGGGGAAUUUUGGACAAUGGGCGAAAGCCUGAUCCAGCAAUGCCGCGUGCAGGAUGAAGGCCUUCGGGUUGUAAACUGCUUUUGUACGGAACGAAAAGCUUCGGGUUAAUACCCUGGAGUCAUGACGGUACCGUAAGAAUAAGCACCGGCUAACUACGUGCCAGCCGCCGCAGUAAAAC
rnacentral:rRNA from 1 species